GGGGGCGACCUGGAUUCGACGGGGUCGGUGACGCCGUGGCUGCGUGCCCAGCUGCUGAGCGCUGGUAAAACACUCGGCAAAAUCACAACUGCCAACACUGAACUGGCCCUCGCCGCGUAACUCCUAGGAGUUGCUGCAGGCGUUGCUCCUGAUGAAGCCCGCCCGAGGCGGCGUCCGGAGUAUCGCAAUAUCGGGAUAGUCCGGCGUCGCGCCUCUUGGCGCCGGGCGAAACUCCAAGGAGGCUCGUGCAGCAAUGGGCCGCUCACCGGCCAGUGGCUGCAGACCCCAAUCGGUGAGCUACGCACGUAGAUGCUGUGGUUGAUCUUAUCUCGGACCGGGGUUCGACUCCCCGCGCCUCCACUC
rfam:Gemmatimonadetes bacterium SCN 70-22 ABS52_C0004, whole genome shotgun sequence.